UACGAAGGGUGCAAGCGUUAAUCGGAAUUACUGGGCGUAAAGGGUGCGUAGGCGGUUCGUUAAGUCUGUCGUGAAAUCCCCGGGCUCAACCUGGGAAUGGCGAUGGAUACUGGGCAGCUAGAGUGUGUCAGAGGAUGGUGGAAUUCCCGGUGUAGCGGUGAAAUGCGUAGAGAUGUGGAGGAACACCGAUGGCGAAGGCAGCCUCCUGGGCCAACACUGACGCUCAUGCACGAAAGCGUGGGGAGCAAACAGG
rnacentral:rRNA from 1 species